UUUCAAUCUGAUAACUUUUACAAGUAUGGCUAUUCAACAGAAACAAUUCAGUCUCACUCUCACUCUCACACAAGUUAAGAGUCAGCUAAGUGAAGAUGAAUCUUCAAUGACAAUGUCACUGCAUUUAAGCUCAUCUCAAGCAAUUCAAUAGAAAGGAGGCCAGAAAAAAAUGUGAUUAACAAUGUAAUUUUGGUCAUGUGUAUCUCAAGAAACAAUACAUUCUAUAUCAACCACCAACAAAACUUAUCAUUUGGCUCUGCAGGGUGCAUACACUGCCGUAUGUAGAUAUUGGCAGCACCAUCCUCCUUGCCAAUAAAUUAUCGUGUAAAAUGUCCAAUUAACAAAAGGACUAAUGUCUUUGUAUGGAUGAACGGUAUACUUGACUCUGCACCAGCAGCAAAAUGCUGAAUUUGACCUUGAUGGUCUGCAUAUAUACAAGUCACCUGUUUCUAAACAGGGAGAAGUCCCAAUGAGAUGAAUUCUUUAGUAGAGACUCAAUCAACAUGCUCUUAGAAUAUAUGCAUGACAAUACCUCCCAUAAUGUCCCAAGCUGAACUCCAACGGGAUCAAGAGACUACGUACUUUGUGUUCAAACUUUGCUAUCUGUGGGUUUUCUCACAUAUACAGCCAGGAAGGGAAUUAGCAUAAAAGCUUUCUUCCAGCUUCGGGAAUUCACCUGGCUCUCUCAUAUAAGGAGCCCCAGAACGAGUCUCGUGAAGCUUUUUUACUUUGGAGCUGAAUUUCUUCCACGAGAUCAUACCAUCAUCGAGUUCAUCAACUAGCUUCACAAAAUUCAUCCUGUCCGGAUUAAUAGUCUUCUUGAAGUUCUCAAAGCGCCUAUGACCUUGGACUGCCUUGGCCAUAUUUCCAUCAUAUGUGUAAACGAAAACAUUACUCUGAAGAGCAACAACAUAGUCCAAACCAGCCAACAUGUUUUGGUGAUUCUUGAAAGGGUUCAAUUCCUCCUCUGUUGAAAGAGUUGAAUGGGAAAAGAUGUUUGGGAAAUUCUCCAGAAGAGGUUGCAUGCUUCCAUUCCCAUAUGCUUCACCAGCCACCAAGUAAAUCCUUGUACUGGGUGGAAAUCCCAGCCCCUUAAGCAGAAGGGCAGUCUCCCUGGGGGUCAACGGGCAACCACCAAGCUUUCUUCUUUCUGCACCAUCGAUCUCCUUUUCCUUCCAAUGGCCAACCUCAUAACGCAUGCUACGGAGUUCUUCAUCCUCUUCUGCUGUCAAAUUAUGACUG
rnacentral:misc_RNA from 1 species